rnacentral:lncRNA from 1 species
CUUCGGAUAGCUUGUAGUGAGAAACCGCAAAUUAACCACUUUUGGACUUUAUAACAUUUCCGGGUUCCUUUUUGUAACCAAUUAAAAUAAAGGAAUUGUUGUGUUCCAUUAUUAGUAACAAUAUGGGCCGAUUUAAAUAAACCAAGGUAUUGGAGGGCUGAUUUUGUAAUUAUACACCAACAAUAGAGCUGUUGGUCAAUCAAUUACCACAAGGGGUGGGUUUUGCUCUUUUAAAAUAAGGAGAGGGAUACACUUUGCCCAGUUCAACAAUUAUACAAAGAGGGUUGCGUCUUCUUCAUCCGUUCAUUAGAUCGAGUCAAAGGAAGAGGAACAGACGUUUUUAUCAGGAGGGGUCGAUCGAAGGUGAAACGGGAAAAAAGCAUAAACCGAGGACCAACCAUCUAAUUCCGACGAGCCCUCAUGGGUGUGUGUCUCGUUGCCGACAGCAACUCGGGAAGGAAGAGACGCAGCCGCGGCAGUCGUAAUUGGGAUGAGCACCUCCGGUGCUCGUCUAUUUCGAAGGAAGAAAGGAAACGAACGCAACAAGAGCUGCCAUCAACGGUCACCGCUAGGGGGCUGCUUCAGCGUUGAUUUGCGAAAGGAACCAGGGAGCGGAGGCUGAUCCGAUGGACAAAGCAACAACGAUAGGUAGGGUGUUUAAUUGAUGAAGGAAAAGACGAAAGCAGGAAGAUUGGUGGCUCAGUGGCGAUUAAUCGACCGCGAGGAAGGGUGAGACAGUCGAUCUCCGAUAGUAUCUUCAUCCUCGUCUUCAGUAGUAAUCGAGGUAAACAGUUAUGGUUGUUGUCUGAUUUGGUUUUGAUGUUUGAUAACGAUCGAUAGAACUCAAGUAGGAGUUUAAGUUGGAUUUUUAACAGGAAUAAUUGAAGUAGAAUGAUGGUGAUGUUGCUCUUGUGUUGGCACUGGACACGAAAACACCCACCUUUAGUGGUGUGUUCUUCACUUGCUUCAAUUGAUUGGAAAAGAACAAGAAAGAAUUGGGUUGUUGCUUCUUUUUGUUUGCUGGAAAACACAACAUCACUCCCAAUGGAUGUGUUCUUUGGAUGACCACGAUGCACAAAAAGAAACAAGUUGAAGAGAGAGUUUUUGGUGAGUUUGGACUGCAAACAUAUCAAGGAAAGAGGCACUAAUAUGGCCAAUUAUUUAUAUUCAAUUGUACUUGGAUGGAAAGUUAGAAGCAAUGUCAUAAAGAUCAUCAUGUGUAGCUACUAUUUUAGCUAGAAAUGUAAGAAAUAGUCUAGACAUUUAAAGAUAUGUGUACUAUAGUUUGAUAGGUAGAGAGUCGAGAAGAGUAGCUUCCAAUCUGAUUGAACCUCCAAACAAAAGUCUUCUUUGACUUUUAAGUCUCAUUGGAGACUUUGGUGGAAUUGGGAGUUGUUUAGGAGUAGAGUAGAGUAGAUUUGUCGUUUCAAAAAAAAAAUAUGUAUAAGGUAUUUUGUGGUAUAAAUCUCUGUCUCUCGAUUCUCGUGUCAGACGGAUCUUAAAUCCAAUAAGUAGAACUCCGGGAAAAUCUGUUUAAAGUUUCGCGAUUUAUAGUAUCGGAUUCGAUAGAUUUUACAAAUAUGAUUUCGGUCGAUUUUAAAAAUAUUAUAAAAAUAUAAUAAAAUAAUAGACCGUAUUUUGAAUUCAAAAACAUGCUCAAAACUGUUUACGAGACUCGUAGCUGUUCCAAACGACAAAGCGCACGGUUCGUUUCAAGAAAUCAAAUAAAUGUUGAUUUUUAUAAUUUUAAAGAGACGUAACGUUCUAAUACGACCUCUAUUUUGUUCGUUCUUUAUAUCCACGAAUUCAGGAGAACAUAACCUUUUCAAAUAUCUUAUCCAUAACUCUUAAAUAUAUUUGAUGCAAAAAUUUAUUUUUAAC